rnacentral:rRNA from 1 species
AUUGAACGCUGGCGGCAUGCUUUACACAUGCAAGUCGAACGGCAGCGCGGGCUUCGGCCUGGCGGCGAGUGGCGAACGGGUGAGUAAUGCAUCGGAACGUGCCCAGUAGUGGGGGAUAGCCCGGCGAAAGCCGGAUUAAUACCGCAUACGACCUGAGGGUGAAAGCGGGGGACCGAAAGGCCUCGCGCUAUUGGAGCGGCCGAUGUCGGAUUAGCUAGUUGGUGGGGUAAAGGCUUACCAAGGCGACGAUCCGUAGCUGGUCUGAGAGGACGACCAGCCACACUGGGACUGAGACACGGCCCAGACUCCUACGGGAGGCAGCAGUGGGGAAUGUUGGACAAUGGGGGCAACCCUGAUCCAGCCAUGCCGCGUGCGGGAAGAAGGCCUUCGGGUUGUAAACCGCUUUUGUUCGGUAAGAAAUCCUCUGGGCUAAUACCCCGGGGGGAUGACGGUACCGGAAGAAUAAGCACCGGCUAACUACGUG